CACAGCAUAAUAGCAACCAUCAAGCUUAUUUCGCACCUUGAUGACUGCUCCAAAAGCCCCCUUGCCAAGUAAUUUUAGCUCUUCGAACUCAUUGUAGUAGCGUGAAAAUUGUCUCUGUGUUUCUGUGAAGAAUGAAGCACUGGAUAUCUGGCUGCUGGGCACAACUGUCUCAAUGCAAUCUAUACCUGCCGAAUCAUCUAGAUUUUCUUCUGCUACGGGUAUUUUCAUUCGUGG
rnacentral:lncRNA from 1 species